rnacentral:rRNA from 1 species
UACGUAGGGACCAAGCGUUGUUCGGAUUUACUGGGCGUAAAGGGCGCGUAGGCGGCGCGGUAAGUCACUUGUGAAAUCUCACAGCUUAACUGUGAAACUGCAUUGGAUACUAUCCGGCUCGAGGAAUGGAGGGGAGACUGGAAUACUUGGUGUAGCAGUGAAAUGCGUAGAUAUCAAGUGGAACACCAGUGGCGAAGGCGAGUCUCUGGACAUUUCCUGACGCUGAGGCACGAAAGCCAGGGGAGCAAACGGG